rnacentral:lncRNA from 1 species
UAACAACUCUCCUUCUGGGUAGCAGACAAGUGGCAGGAGGGCCCAGAUGUCUGGAUUUUCUUGAACAGCAGGCACCUUACAGGACCCUUGCCCUGAUACAGUACCCUCUCUCUCGUGAAACUACACGAGCAGCCCACCGUGGAGGGAAGAGGAGGGCAGGAGGUCUUGCAGCUUAGGCUCUUUGACUCAGCCAACUGGAAAAGUCAACAGCCUUACACAGAGGUUCCCAAGCCGGGAGUGGACCAGCAGCACCUGGAGAGGGGAUCUAGAACUCAGAUGGAGAAGAGAGGUGUUGUGUGUCCUUAUCACAUCUUCCCCCAGCAACUAUUGAGGAAAAUAAAUAAAGAAGUAUAGAUGAGUAAUAAGACAUCACAUCCACUAGAGACUCUUGAUCCGACAUCCGAUGAAUCCAUCCGCUUCCAAGGUGACUAGUUCAUCAGUUAAGGUCAAGAAGAGGAAUGCAGCAGAAUUGCAGUCAUUUGGUUGUGUGUAAGGAAGCAAG